AAUCAACGCUGGCGGCGUGCCUCAGACAUGCAAGUCGAACGCGAAAGGUUCCUUCGGGAACCCGGUAGAGUGGCGCACGGGUGAGUAACACGUGGGUAAUUUGCCUUCGGGUGGGGAAUAACAGUCGGAAACGGCUGCUAAUACCGCAUAAUGCAGCGGCAUCAUAAGAUGACAGUUGUUAAAGCGGGGGAUCGUAAGACCUCGCGCCUGAAGAGAAGCCCGCGGCGGAUUAGGUAGUUGGNGAGGUAAUGGCUCACCAAGCCCGCGAUCCGUAACCGGCCUGAGAGGGCGGUCGGUCACACUGACACUGACAUACGGGUCAGACUCCGUACGGGAGCAGCAGUCGGGAAUUUGGGCAAUGGGCGCAAGCCUGACCCAGCAACGCCGCGUGAA
rnacentral:rRNA from 1 species